GUGCAACACCCUCCAGGAAGCUGAGGGGUUAGGGGAAGUGCUCUCACUGGGCUGCUAUUGAAAAGAGGAAUUGCUCCAUGAAACCAAAUGGACAGAAGGGAGAUUAUGUGGAGUCUUCUAUUCCUGAGAAGGCUUAUGUAAACCUGCUGGAAACUGUUACCCUGGAUUCCCUGAGAGAGCUCGGAGCAAAUUAACCCAGAGAGUGAACUGACUCAGCAGGAGCAAAGCUGGAUCUGAAGCUUGAGAUUUGCUGAAUGUGACAUGCUGGAAGGACGCAAGCUAUCACUAGGUAGCCCUUAAUUCCAAGGAUGAACUCAAAUCCGCCACUCCAGGAGGGCAGCUGAGAUUAAAACCAAAGUUGUCCACCACAUGAAACUGGUCUGUGGAUUAAGACUGCCUAAACGAUAGAAGAGGCAGAGAACCUGUCUCCUGCACAGGCACAAGAAGUCAAAACAUUUUCAGGGCACAGUCAGCAUCAACCUGAUAGCAUGCUACCCACCUUCCCUCUAAUUUAAUGUCAUGCAGUUCAUCUGUAAACUAGAUUCCCUGGUUUAACACUCUCAGGUGAGGGGGCAUCCUGGUAUGCACUUUAUCAAUGAGGAUAAAUGGUUAA